rnacentral:rRNA from 1 species
AAUAGAUACCCAGGUAGUCCACGCCGUAAACGAUGAGUGCUAAGUGUUAGAGGGUUUCCGCCCUUUAGUGCUGCAGCAAACGCAUUAAGCACUCCGCCUGGGGAGUACGGCCGCAAGGCUGAAACUCAAAGGAAUUGACGGGGGCCCGCACAAGCGGUGGAGCAUGUGGUUUAAUUCGAAGCAACGCGAAGAACCUUACCAGGCCUUGACAUCCUUAUGACUUCCCUAGAGAUAGGGCUUCCCCUUCGGGGGCAUAAGUGACAGGUGGUGCAUGGUUGUCGUCAGCUCGUGUCGUGAGAUGUUGGGUUAAGUCCCGCAACGAGCGCAACCCUUGAUCUUAGUUGCCAGCAUUGAGUUGGGGCACUCUAAGGUGACUGCCGGUGACAAACCGGAGGAAGGUGGGGAUGACGUCAAAUCAUCAUGCCCCUUAUGACCUGGGCUACACACGUGCUACAAUGGAUGGUACAAAGGGCAGCGAAGCCGCGAGGUGAAGCGAAUCCCAUAAAACCAUUCUCAGUUCGGAUUGUAGG